UGGGCAACCUGCCCCUGGCUUUGGGAUAACUCCGGGAAACCGGAGCUAAUACCGGAUACGAGACCGAUUGGCAUCAAUACGGUCUGGAAAGUUUUUCGGCCAGGGAUGGGCUCGCGGCCUAUCAGCUAGUUGGUGUGGGUAAUGGCCCACCAAGGCGACGACGGGUAGCCGGCCUGAGAGGAUGAUCAGCCACAUUGGGACUGAGACACGGCCCAGACUCCUACGGGAGGCA
rnacentral:rRNA from 1 species